rnacentral:rRNA from 1 species
AUUCACCAGGUACCGUCAAUUCAGGACUAAUCCCGAGUUUCUUCCCUGGCAAAGCCGUUUACAACCCAUAGGGCCGUCAUCCGGCACGCGGCGUGGCUGCGUCAGGCUUUCGCCCAUUGCGCAAGAUUCCUCA